UUCAAUUUUCAGGAGAAUGCAAUAACUUUGUGGUGUCUCCAGCUCAUUGAAGUUUUAAUUUGUCCUGUCAUGUAACUUUUGCGGGUUUUAAGUUGAAUUUGUUCUUGUAAAUUUCAGGAGAUUAGCUUCCACAGAAGGUUAUUCAACCUCCACAGUGUCAUCCAGAACCAGUAUGAGUUCUUCGUCAAGCGUAUGGGAGGCCCUCCUCUGUAUUCUCAAAGGAAAGGUCAUCCUGCUCUGAUUGGUCGUCACCAUCCGUUUCCACUGACUCAUGAAGCUGCGGAGAGAUGGCUGCAGCAUAUGCAAAAUGCCAUGGACGAGUCGGCCUAGAAUCACUUCACAAGAAACACAGGUAAAUCAUAUUUCUACUCCUUCUCUACAUUUUAUCUUAAAUAAAACAAUGUUCAAUUUUUUUUAAGAACCCCUAAAUAAGAUACUUGCAUUGGAAGGACAACAAUUUAGAGGUUUCUUAAAUUAAGUGUUUAACACCCAUUUAUUACUAAAAAAUGAUUAAGAGCCCCAUUAGGAGUGCUAGGGUUAAUGGUGCUCUAAGUGCAAUGCAUACAUGGAACUUCAUGCAAAGAACACAUAAUACGACCAAUAAGCUUUGAAAUUGAAAGGUUUCCCUAUCAUCGUUCAAACCCUACUAAAUUUAAAGCCCAUCAAGCAUUACGGAAGUGAUCCUAAUUGAUGUCGUACGUAAACUCAAUGAUGAAAGGUAAUCUAAACCUCCUUAACUUAAACUUUCAAAUAAUGGUUGUCAUUGAAGGGUCUUAAGACUCUUACUGCAUGCUAUGCGUGCUAAUAUUUACAUAAAUGUGACCUUUGGCUAUUUGUUUCUAGAUUGACCAUUUCUUAGAUUCAACUUACAAGGAGAUGUCUGAGCUCAGUAACAAGGGCUUUUUGACCUAUGUGGGGACAUUGAGAUGGUGGAACAUUGGCCCGUCCCACUGGUCGGAUCUGUUGUAGCAAGUUCUGGGAUGCCCAGUCCAAGCUGAAAGUGAAUCUUGUUUGUUGAGGGAAGGCUUGACUCAGGAGGUUCCUAAAGAGGUGUGAGGCUGGUUUCACUGAGCAGCUCUCACCUUCCUCUCUCGGUAAUGGACGGAUCACAGCUCGAAGCCACUCAGAUCUAGCAUGGCUUGGUGGCUUGUACCCAGCUUAACCACCAUCUUUUUGAAAAAAAAAACUUACAAGAUAUGGAUGGCAACCGCCAAGGUUAGAAACAAGAUUACAUAUUGAACUAUAUAAUUCCACUUGCCAGGUAUAACCCGUUAGCUUUAUAUAUCGCAAAACAAUGGAGACAGACACAUUGAUAUAUCAGGAUGUCUUCUCUUAUGUCCCCAAUGAUCUAAAUCCAAAUGAUUUAGAAUUUCUAGGUACAAUCUCGAUUUAUCUGGUCUUACUUCCGCUUUGGACACUAACAUUAUUGUUAAGCAUGAAAAUAAUUCCUCUGAGAUGAUUUUGGAUUA